rnacentral:lncRNA from 1 species
ACCCCACCCUGAAAAAUAAACGGGGCCUUGCUGCGGUAGAGCAUGAGCCUGGAACUAAGUUCGUGAAACUGCUCUCCUGUUGUUCUUCCCUCCUGUUUGGGACCUGCUGGCAGGAUUCUGAUGUCGCGGCUCGCUACACAAUGGAAAUACUCAGACUGAGAGUAAUUAGAUAUCUACUACUAUACAGCAGUGCGGUUGCUCUUAUCUCGGCUCAGCUCUGUUAUAGGACCCAGCCUGUAGACAUCUCAAGGUUAUGCCCAUUUUCAUUUCUCAAGAAACAUUGAGAGACUUUAAAUUCAAAGGAAGAGGAGAUAUUCUCCCACAAAAUAGAGAACAGGUAAAAUUUUCAAGCAAUAUACAAUCUAAUACACAAACUAAGUUGAUCUGUAUUUAAAAUU